rnacentral:rRNA from 1 species
ACGCACGCUGGCGGCGUGCCUAAUACCUGCAAGUCGAGCGAAGUUUUUCUGGUGCUUGCACCGGAAAAACUUAGCGGCGAACGGGUGAGUAACACGUAAAGAACCUGCCUCAUAGACUGGGACAACUAUUGGAAACGAUAGCUAAUACCGGAUAAUAGCAUUAACUGCAUGGUUGAUGUUUAAAAGUUGGUUUUGCUAACACUAUGAGAUGGCUUUGCGGUGCAUUAGCUAGUUGGUGGGGUAAAGGCCUACCAAGGCGACGAUGCAUAGCCGACCUGAGAGGGUGAUCGGCCACACUGGGACUGAGACACGGCCCAGACUCCUACGGGAGGCAGCAGUAGGGAAUCUUCCGCAAUGGGCGAAAGCCUGACGGAGCAACGCCGCGUGAGUGAAGAAGGAUUUCGGUUCGUAAAGCUCUGUUGUUAGGGAAGAAUGAUUGUGUAGUAACUAUACACAGUAGAGACGGUACCUAACCAGAAAGCCACGGCUAACUACGUG